rnacentral:rRNA from 1 species
CCUACGGGGGGCUGCAGUGGGGAAUAUUGGACAAUGGGGGCAACCCUGAUCCAGCCAUGCCGCGUGUGUGAAGAAGGCCCUCGGGUUGUAAAGCACUUUCAGUGAGGAAGAACGCCUGGUGGUUAAUACCCAUCAGGAAAGACAUCACUCACAGAAGAAGCACCGGCUAACUCCGUGCCAGCAGCCGCGGUAAUACGGAGGGUGCGAGCGUUAAUCGGAAUUACUGGGCGUAAAGCGCGCGUAGGUGGCUUGAUAAGCCGGUUGUGAAAGCCCCGGGCUCAACCUGGGAACGGCAUCCGGAACUGUCAAGCUAGAGUGCAGGAGAGGAAGGUAGAAUUCCCGGUGUCGCGGUGAAAUGCGUAGAGAUCGGGAGGAAUACCAGUGGCGAAGGCGGCCUUCUGGACUGACACUGACACUGAGGUGCGAAAGCGUGGGUAGCAAACAGGAUUAGAUACCCGAGUAGUC